rnacentral:rRNA from 1 species
AGCGAACGCUGGCGGCAGGCCUAAUACAUGCAAGUCGAACGAAGCCUUCGGGCUUAGUGGCGGACGGGUGAGUAACACGUGGGAACGUACCCUUUGGUUCGGAACAACUCAGGGAAACUUGAGCUAAUACCGAAUGUGCCCCCAUCCUUAACAAGAUGGGUGGGAAAGAUUUAUCGCCAUUGGAGCGGCCCGCGUCUGAUUAGCUAGUUGGUGAGGUAAAGGCCCACCAAGGCUACGAUCAGUAGCUGGUCUGAGAGGAUGAUCAGCCACACUGGGACUGAGACACGGCCCAGACUCCUACGGGAGGCAGCAGUAGGGAAUCUUGCGCAAUGGGC